AUUGAACGCUGGCGGCAGGCCUAACACAUGCAAGUCGAGCGGGGACUUCGGUCCUAGCGGCGAACGGGUGAGUAAUGCUUGGGAAUCUGCCCAGUAGUGGGGGAUAACGUCCCGAAAGGGACGCUAAUACCGCAUACGUCCUACGGGAGAAAGAGGGGGAUCUUCGGACCUCUCGCUAUUGGAUGAGCCCAAGUCGGAUUAGCUAGUUGGUAGGGUAAUGGCCUACCAAGGCGACGAUCCGUAGCUGGUCUGAGAGGAUGAUCAGCCACACUGGAACUGAGACACGGUCCAGACUCCUACGGGAGGCAGCAGUGGGGAAUAUUGGACAAUGGGCGAAAGCCUGAUCCAGCCAGGCCGCGUGUGUGAAGAAGGCCUUCGGGUUGUAAAGCACUUUAAGCGGGGAGGAAGGUUCGCGGCCUAAUACGUCGCGGAAUUGACGUUACCCGCAGAAUAAGCACCGGCUAACUCUGUG
rnacentral:rRNA from 1 species